CCUGUAAGACUGGGAUAACUCCGGGAAACCGGGGCUAAUACCGGAUGCUUGAUUGAACCGCAUGGUUCAAUCAUAAAAGGUGGCUUUCAGCUACCACUUACAGAUGGACCCGCGGCGCAUUAGCUAGUUGGUGAGGUAACGGCUCACCAAGGCGACGAUGCGUAGCCGACCUGAGAGGGUGAUCGGCCACACUGGGACUGAGACACGGCCCAGACUCCUACGGGAGGCAGCAGCAGGGAAUCUUCCGCAAUGGACGAAAGUCUGACGGAGCGACGCCGCGUGAGUGAUGAAGGUUUUCGGAUCGUAAAACUCUGUUGUUAGGGAAGAACAAGUACCGUUCGAAUAGGGCGGCACCUUGACGGUACCUAACCAGAAAGCCACGGCUAACUACGUGCCAGCAGCCGCGGUAAUACGUAGGUGGCAAGCGUUGUCCGGAAUUAUUGGGCGUAAAGCGCGCGCAGGCGGUUUCUUAAGUCUGAUGUGAAAGCCCCCGGCUCAACCGGGGAGGGUCAUUGGAAACUGGGGAACUUGAGUGCAGAAGAGGAGAGUGGAAUUCCACGUGUAGCGGUGAAUGCGUAGAGAUGUGGAGGAACACCAGUGGCGAAG
rnacentral:rRNA from 1 species